rnacentral:lncRNA from 1 species
UGGUCUUCAGCAUCAUAGUAGAAACACUUUCUCUUUACUUUAGUUUUCUUCAGAAUGUCCUUCUUUAGCUUGCUCUCCUUCUUCUACUUCUUUGUGGAUUUACUCUUCUUCUUCCAACUAGACUUUCUCUUAGAUGAAGAAGUCCUCUUCACAAUAAGAACAGUGCCCCUUGAACUCUUCAAUGUUUCCUCAGUAGUGACCAGCAUGU